rnacentral:lncRNA from 1 species
UCUGCCUCUGCCUCUGCCUUUCACUCGUCUCUCAUCAUCUAACUUGUCUUUGCCUCUGCCUCUCACUCGUCUCUCAUCACUUCCUCUCUUAUGCCGCCCUAGUUUUUCCUCGUCUUUGGGUUAUUCCUGAAAACUUGCCAGAACUACUACUAAGUCGUCGAAAUCGGUCAAUUCUGUUGAAGAAGUUGAUUUCUAGGAAUAUUUGUGAGAUAAAAGGCAUCGAAGUUGGGUUUUGAAGAUAAAAUUAUGUAAUCCAUAAGGUAUCCUUUCUUUCUAUUUUCUUUUUUAAUAAAUUAGUUUGUGUGGAUGUUUGAUUUUUGUUAUUCCUCUUGUUGAAUUCUGCACUGAUUAUGCUCAUAAAUUGAACUUUAUGCUUAAUUCCGGUGUGUGAUUUGUCUGGCGUUUGCAAUGAAUUUUGUUUAUUCCACUUGUUGAACUUUAUGAUGUGCGUAAUUACAGAAAUAGUAGAGCUUGAACAUCGAGCGGAAUGUGGAUUAGUUUGUAACAGAAAGUUGAGUUUUGUAGUGCAUUGAGUUUCUUAUGGAUGCAGUCUCUUUUACAUAAUCAUAUAUUUGUUACAUUUUCCCUUUUCUUCUAUUUAUCAAGCACAAUUAAAUUAGUUACAGUUGCUUUGAUUGUUUUGUCCAUAAAAUCUUUCAUGUCUCUACUGUCAAAUCUUUUAAAUAGCUGGUUCGACUAAAGGAAUGUGUUCGUAUUUUAUUAUUUUAGGUAUGAUUUUAAUUUUCUAUAUAGUAUUUAAAAGAGAUACAAUCGAUCAUACAUUGUGCCUAAAAAAGUCAUCUUUACAUAAUUCACACUCCAAUCCAUGAUUAAGUGAUUAGAUUCAUAAUUCUUCUCAUUAAGUACAUAAUAUUGAAAAGCAAUCAUCCUUGUCUUUCUUCCAGCAAACCAAAAUGGUCAUCUUCAUUAUCAACAGAUGUCCUGAAAACCAAUAUAUGGCAUUUAUCAACUUUAUCCAACUGAUAUAAUCUAGAAAGCCUUUUGAGACUGUGAAUUUGGCCUCGGACUGAACUUUUAGAUGAGGUGCGAUGACUCUAUUUUUAUUCCAUAUUGCUAAGGUAAUUUGGUUUGUUGAUUUAAGGGUGUCUCAACAUUAUAGCAUAGAAUCCAAAUAUCUUGAAUUUAAGCACGACCACUGCCUAUUUGUGAAAAGUCUAUUGUCAAGUCUUCUAUGAUUCCUUUUACGAUGAUGUGCGUAAUUACUAAAUUUCUUCAGUGUCUUAAUAUUUCCUCCAUUGCUCACUUAACACAUAAUGGAAAUGUCACAGUAUAUAUUAUGCAGUUCUUUGUUAUAUCCUUCUGAACUCUUAACUAAAAGAAAAUAGUCAGCUGCUUCAAUCUCUUGGUAGUGUCAGGAUUUCAACAUACGUUGGUUUUUUUUCUUUUUCUUUCUCUCCUUUUUUUUUUU